ensembl:snoRNA SNORA75 Small nucleolar RNA SNORA75
CACUUCUCAAUGAGCUCCUUCCUGCCAACAAAUCCAUGGCAGCCUAUGGAUUCGCACGAGAAGAAUAUUAACUGUCCAGUGCUGGCAAACUCGCAACAGGACUCCAUCUGUUGUGGUCAGCCACUGCUGUUCCACAAGU